rnacentral:tRNA from 1 species
ACUUUUAUUUAAUCUAAAGAGCUUAACACUGAAGAUGUUGGGGAAGUUGGUUAAGGAAAUAUUUUAUUUUUAGGUA